GGGCGUGUAUCCAAGCGGCCAAAGGGCGGGGAUUGUAAAUCCUCUUGCAUUAGCAUUCGGUGGUUCGAAUCCACCCGCGCCCA
rnacentral:tRNA from 1 species